AUAGAUAAUGGCUAUAAUCGAGGCAACAAUAACAAUAGUAGUAAUAGUUCUGUUAAAAGCUAUAGUUCAAAGUAUUCUGGAAGUGAAUCAAAGACUCAGGAUACCGGCCAAUCAGCAACCGCGUCAGAUGUAGAUGAUUAUCAAGCUUCGACCAGGCCAAGUAGUAAGGAACCACAACCCCCGCCAAGGCAUCUAAGGCGGAGGAAGAAGGAAGAUGAAGUCGCUCAUGCGCCGGUGUCUACGAAUCGGCCCUCCGAGCGCAGUUCGUCGACCCAGUUUGACUUGGAAGCAGAUGCUUUCCCACCUUUACCUAGUGCUGUGACUCAUCCCUCAUCCUCCGCUCCAACGCAAACCACAUGCCCUGCACCCUUCUCACACCCCUCAUGCUCCACCAGUCGAGGUGGAAGCCUCCCCUCUGCCCCCUGUUGUGACUGUUGCCGAGGCUCCAUCUUCAGACUCACACUCCGAAAACAGUCGGUUAUCAGAUGUAGUGAAAGGAACUGCCAAACAACAAAAAAGCAGAGGAGAGUCACCGGUUGAAAAUUUAUCAUCAACUAGUCAAUCAACGCAACACAAUGCAGUAGACCUUAAUGUCCCUGCUCCUCCCGUAUCUCCGUCCUUAUCAGACAAAUCAGGUACAGGGACAGGAGCUGGUACUGAAGAGAAAUGGACCAAGACUGAUGAAACUAAUGAGAAGGAGGAAGUAGUAACAACGACUGCAGGAUCAGUGGCACCCAGCAGCACUGUGAGCAAACAUCACACUGCUACAAACAAUGCUACCACCAUGACUGAACACUCUACACCACAUCAGACACAGUCAGAGGUGAGUCCUUUGUCCAGCAGUGUUAAUGCCACUGUUGAACUUUAUAGUAAGACACUAAUGUUAGACUUUCAUUAAGAUUAGCAGCAGGACUAAGAGGAAAAAAUUAUCUAAGUUGUUUUAUUUGUGUAAAGUCCAAGAUAAUAUUUAUUCGAUAUCUGUCUAUUGAAAACAAAGUUGCUCUUCCAGAUCAUGAUGGUACGAUUAAAGUAAUUUCAAUUUGUGAUAAAAUCUUCAUUUAGAGUUUUCUUUCAUAAUACUUUGAUGUAUUAACAUUGAAACUGCUAAAAUGCGUUUCUCACUUGCUGUGUUUUAAAAGUUCUUCUCUUAUUCUUUUUUAAGACCAAACCAGCAUCAUGGCCUGAAAUUAUCAUUGAAUAUUCGUUACACAGAGAAGAAUAAAUCACCAAAGUUUUAAUAAAAUGACAUCCAGUAGUUUCUAUCUAAAAAAUAAAGCAGUACAGGAAGUUGGCAAUGCAGUAAAUCAAGAUUUGCAUUUUUGCAGUUUCACCAUUGAUAUGUGGGUGUUGUAUCCUUAGACAUUCAUGUUUAAGAAUAUACUCUGAAGAGUUAACCAUCCUUAAGUAUUUAUGUCUCUUCAAUUCAUGCUCCUCCUGUAAGAGGGGUACUAAAAAUGCUGAAUGUCAUGAUCUGCUUCAGACCCAGAGGUAGACCCCAGGUAGUGUGGUAACUUUCAGAAGUGAUUAUUUUUUUUCCUCUUACUAUUCCUUUGCUCAUUACCUAAAAAAAUUAGGGUAAAGCUGAAAUUUUUCAAUAGGCAAAUAGGGCAAAGUGCUGUGACUCAAAAAAACCGAAUCUGACAAACAGUAUGAGUUUAAAUUCUUUGCAGUUAUAUCCUGUGUUUUUAUUAAGAGAAGGUUAGUCCUUACCCAUUAAUGAGGUAGUUGCAUGAAAUUUGUUUAAUUCACUUUCUAAAAAUUUUGAGGUCUACUGAGUGUCAAGGUAUUUUUUCAAAACUUUUUAGUC
rnacentral:lncRNA from 1 species